rnacentral:piRNA from 1 species
UAGCUCACAGUUAUGAUUAUUUGCCUAAAU